rnacentral:rRNA from 1 species
UGGGGAAUAUUGGACAAUGGGCGAAAGCCUGAUCCAGCCAUGCCGCGUGUGUGAAGAAGGUCUUCGGAUUGUAAAGCACUUUAAGUUGGGAGGAAGGGCAGUAAGCGAAUACCUUGCUGUUUUGACGUUACCGACAGAAUAAGCACCGGCUAACUCUGUGCCAGCAGCCGCGGUAAUACAGAGGGUGCAAGCGUUAAUCGGAAUUACUGGGCGUAAAGCGCGCGUAGGUGGUUCGUUAAGUUGAAUGUGAAAGCCCCGGGCUCAACCUGGGAACGGCAUCCAAAACUGGCGAGCUAGAGUAGGGCAGAAGGUGGUGGAAUUUCCUGUGUAGCGGUGAAAUGCGUAGAUAUAGGAAGGAACACCAGUGGCGAAGGCGACCACCUGGGCUCAUACUGACACUGAGGUGCGAAAGCGUGGGGAGCAAACAGG